ACUCCUACGGGAGGCAGCAGUGAGGAAUAUUGGACAAUGGGCGAGGGCCUGAUCCAGCCAUGCCGCGUGCAGGAAGAAUGCCCUAUGGGUAGUAAACUGCUUUUAUAACGGGAAGAAAAGGGCACGUGUGCCCUGUUGACGGUACCGUAAGAAUAAGGACCGGCUAACUCCGUGCCAGCAGCCGCGGUAAUACGGAGGGUCCGAGCGUUAUCCGGAAUUAUUGGGUUAAAGGGUCCGUAGG
rnacentral:rRNA from 1 species